rnacentral:pre_miRNA from 1 species
GUAGUAUUCCCGCCGUCCCAAAAUUCUUGUCUUACAUUUGUUUAGAUACGAAUGUAUCUAACACUAAAACGUAACUAGAUACAUCCGUAUUUAGACAAAUUUAAGACAAGAAUUUUGGGACGGAGGGAGUACAAA